AUGAGUUUGUGCCCACGUAGACUCUUCAGGAUCAGGAGUUUUGGGGUGAGGUCUGGAAUCAUGGAUGGGAAUUCUAACUACCUGCUCCGUCUCCCUGGAUUACUAAACUUGUUACUUGCCUCAGAGUUUAUGUGGGUUGAACUUGUGUCCCCCUCAGAUGCCCUAUUGAGUCAAUCUGCACAUUUUGGUGGAAAUACAACAAGCAGUCAACAGGCAGCUGGAGCAGCGGAAAGGACAAUGCUAAAUUAA
rnacentral:lncRNA from 1 species